GAUCAUGGCUCAGGAUGAACGCUAGCGGCAGGCUUAACACAUGCAAGUCGAGGGGCAGCGCGAUGUAGCAAUACAUUGGCGGCGACCGGCGCACGGGUGCGUAACACGUAUGGAAUCUGCCCUUUACUGGGGGAUAGCCCGGAGAAAUCCGGAUUAAUACCCCAUAAUAAUCGAGGUGGCAUCACCUUGAUUUGAAAGCUCCGGCGGUAAAGGAUGACCAUGCGCACGAUUAGCUAGUAGGUGAGGUGACGGCUCACCUAGGCUACGAUCGUUAGGGGGCCUGAGAGGGUUAUCCCCCACACUGGUACUGAGACACGGACCAGACUCCUACGGGAGGCAGCAGUGAGGAAUAUUGCGCAAUGGAGGCAACUCUGACGCAGCCAUGCCGCGUGCAGGAAGAAGGCGCUACGCGUUGUAAACUGCUUUUAACCGGGAAGAAACCCCUCUACGUGUGGAGGGUUGACGGUACCGGAGGAAUAAGCACCGGCUAACUACGUG
rnacentral:rRNA from 1 species